ACACACAUAUGCCGUAAAAAAAUAAUAAGAACACAGUACCUUUUCAACUGUGCGUGUUUGGUCCACACUUCUCAACUCUUGCUAGCUCACUCUUUUUAAUUCUGCUUUUUUAAUUCUGUUUUUUUAAUUUUGCUUUUUUAAUUUUGCUUUUUUAAUUUUGCUUUUUUUAAUUCUACUUUUUUAACUCUACUUUUUUAAUUCUAUUUUUUUUUACUUUUAUUUUUUUUUUUUUUUUUUUACAGAGUGGAGCCGCCCUAAUAAUUAUAUUGUUAGUAAAAAUAAUUCCUUAUCUUAAGGAGCUAGAUAGGUUUGCUUGUUUGUUUGCUUUUUUUUUUUUUUUUUUUUUUUUUUUUUUUAUUACGCAUUCGCUCUUUCAUAUAUUUGUAUAUUUUAUUUAUCAUAUUAUAUUUGAAGCAGAAAAAAAAGAAUACAUAAACGUGACCACUUAUUUUAAUAUAAUGCUUUUUUAAUAACAUUUUUAUCAUUUGUAAUUAUCACGUAAACAAAAAUGGGUUAUAUAUAUGUAUAUAUAUAUAUAUACAUGCAUGUGUUUUUCCCUCUUUUCAGAAACCUGAUAGUUUGCUUUCUCUAUUCAGUAUUACAUAGCGUAUUUUACAUUCUAUGUAAUAUUUUUGUUUAUUUUAUGAAAAAAGUGAACAAGGAGAAUAAAAAACAAGAGUCACCAUGCACGUAUUCAAAAAUCUUAACAUUAAUGAAUAAUGAAAUUGAUUUUUAUAAAAUUGUUUAUAAAAGUGUUUGUAGUUAUUCACAUGAGAACAAAUUUUUUGAGGAAGAAAUUUCAUAUAUGUUACAAGAUUUAGAAAAAGAAGAAAUGGUAAAAAUUAUAAAGAGCUACAUGGAAAAAUAAAAAGGGCGUUUUGUGUAUAUGUAGUAUAAAAUCGGACUUGCAGCUUACGGUUUCAUUAGUUUCCUACCUCCACAUAACGUGUACAUACUAUAUAUUUAUUUAUUUAUUCAUUUAUUCAUUUAUUCAUUUAUUCAUUUAUUCAUUUAUUUAUUUAUUUAUUUAUUUAUUUAUUGUUUUUGUUAUUUUUUUUUAUAACUUACAUAUUUGUAACACUAAAAAUUUUAGAACUGAUUUAUUAAUUUUUUUUUUUUAAAAAAAAAAAAAUCACCUUAUUGUUUACACACAUGAGUUUUGUCAAAAUUUAAAUAUAAAUUAAUUGUUUGUAUAGGUGUGUGUAUAUAUGUAUGUACCCAUGUGUGUGUGUGUCCAUAUAUACACGUAUUUAUUUAUUUA
rnacentral:lncRNA from 1 species